rnacentral:rRNA from 1 species
ACGGAACACCCUUGACAGAGGUUUCGGCCAAUGAAGAGGAAUGUUUAGUGGCGGACUGGUGAGUAACGCGUGAGGAACCUGCCUUUCAGAGGGGGACAACAGUUGGAAACGACUGCUAAUACCGCAUGAAGCAGCGAGGGGACAUCCCCUUGCUGUCAAAGAUUUAUCGCUGAAAGAUGGCCUCGCGUCUGAUUAGCUAGUUGGUGGGGUAACGGCCCACCAAGGCGACGAUCAGUAGCCGGACUGAGAGGUUGACCGGCCACAUUGGGACUGAGAUACGGCCCAGACUCCUACGGGAGGCAGCAGUGGGGAAUAUUGGGCAAUGGACGCAAGUCUGACCCAGCAACGCCGCGUGAAGGAAGAAGGCUUUCGGGUUGUAAACUUCUUUUAACAGGGAAGAGAAGAAGACGGUACCUGUUGAAUAAGCCACGGCUAACUACGUGCCAGCAGCCGCGGUAAUACGUAGGUGGCAAGCGUUGUCCGGAUUUACUGGGUGUAAAGGGCGUGUAGCCGGGAAGGCAAGUCAGAUGUGAAAUCUGGAGGCUCAACCUCCAAACUGCAUUUGAAACUGCUUUUCUUGAGUAUCGGAGAGGUAAUCGGAAUUCCUUGUGUAGCGGUGAAAUGCGUAGAUAUAAG